CUCCAGGAUUCAUCUAGAAGGAAGGACCGGCGCCGGCAUGUUGGUGUAAAAACAAGGAGCCGCACAGUUGACAUUCUUCUUCAUCAUAUGCUAAGUGCAGAACUGAGUGAUAGCCAACCUGCAAAAGAAUAGUUUAUCUUGGUCCUUCCACGCUGGGACCAUACAAAAAGCAAAGAACGGGAGAUCCUUCCAUCAUCAAGUGGAAAGGUUGCAACUUAACAAGAUACAAGUAUCUAUUAUAUCAAUGUGUGUGGGUCAUCAAGUCUAAAGUUCAUGCACCAAAUUUGCAAGGAGCAUAUCUGAAGUUAUCCCCAUGUGUCGUGAGCCCACUGAUAUAUUUGCUUUAUUGUGCCG